rnacentral:tRNA from 1 species
GCCGAUGUAGCUUAGCUGGUUAUAAAGCAUAAAUAUGCUUGGCUAAAGCGCCAGACUCAUAUUCUGGAGGUCGUGGGCUCAAAUCCCACCAUCGGCA